rnacentral:rRNA from 1 species
UACGAAGGGGGCUAGCGUUGCUCGGAAUCACUGGGCGUAAAGGGUGCGUAGGCGGGUCUUUAAGUCAGGGGUGAAAUCCUGGAGCUCAACUCCAGAACUGCCUUUGAUACUGAGGAUCUUGAGUUCGGGAGAGGUGAGUGGAACUGCGAGUGUAGAGGUGAAAUUCGUAGAUAUCGGGAGGAACACCGGUGGCGAAGGCGGCUUACUGGUCCGGUUCUGACGCUGAGGCGCGAAAGCGUGGGGAGCAAACAGG